rnacentral:rRNA from 1 species
AACGAACGCUGGCGGCAGGCAUAACACAUGCAAGUCGAACGGGUGUAGCAAUACAUCAGUGGCGCACGGGUGAGUAACGCGUGGGAACGUGCCCUUAGGUACGGAACAACCUCGGGAAACUGAGGCUAAUACCGUAUAAUAUCUUCGGAUCAAAGAUUUAUCGCCUAAGGAUCGGCCCGCGUUGGAUUAGGUAGUUGGUGAGGUAAAGGCUCACCAAGCCGACGAUCCAUAGCUGGUCUGAGAGGAUGAUCAGCCACACUGGGACUGAGACACGGCCCAGACUCCUACGGGAGGCAGAAGUGAGGAAUAUUGGACAAUGGAGGAAACUCUGAUCCAGCCAUGCCGCGUGAGUGAAGAAGGCCUUCGGGUUGUAAAGCUCUUUUACCCCUGGCGAUAAUGACGGUAAGGGGAGAAAAAGCCACGGCUAACUUCGUGCCAGCCGCCGCCGUAAUAC